UGUUAGCUCCAAACACUGUAAAAUUGAAUAUUUGGUCAGAUUCGGAAGAAAGCAGCCACAUCAAUUCAUACAGGUGUUCUGAUUAAGCUAACAGAA
rnacentral:SRP_RNA from 1 species